AACGCGCACGUGGUGGCAUUGCGAGUCAUUCGAACACUGCGCCUUACGUUUGCGUGAUCGUUAAAUAGCAACAAGCAAAAAAAAACAAAAAACAAAAAUAUAUAUAUAUAAAUAAAUAAAAGUUACAAGAUUGAAAACUAAAAAUUAAACGAGCAAAGAAAAGCUAUAACGAAUUUUCAUUCGAAUAGCGUGGAAUUUUGCGAAAUAUGUACACAAAAAUGCAAUAGCAACAAGUGAAUCGAAUAGCAGACAUUUUAUUCCACUCAAAUUCUAAAGCAAGUGUCGAAGCGCAAACAAAAAAAAAAAAAA